UCCCGGGUCGUAUAACGGCAAUACCGGGGUUUUUGGUACCUCAGAUGGGGGUUCGACUCCUCCCCCGGGAG
rnacentral:tRNA from 1 species